rnacentral:lncRNA from 1 species
GUGAACUUACUAAGCAUUUAUGCUUACUCCCUCCUUUUCAUUCCUUGUAGUUUUGACAAGCCAGCUCGGAAAUCGGGAACGGUCGGAGGCUCGCUCACACUAUUCGUGUAUCAUCUUGGCAUAAUGGCUUGUAUAUUUUGAGCAUGUCAUGUAUAGCAUUAUAAUCAUUUUGUGUAUAUGGUCUUAUGAUAUGGUUAUUGAGUGG